UCUCCUGCUCAAGUGCAGGCAAUGAGCUAAUGGAACAAUUACUCUUCAAUUGAUUGUGUCUUUCUCUCCAUAUUUUUCUACUAUAGCUCCUACGCAGAGCGGAAGUAAAUAUUCUGGCUAUUGCCCCAUUUUGGAAGAGCUGGUGCCAACAUGGUUGACUCGCCUGCUAGCAGCAAGUGAAAACAACAGACUGCAUUGUAGUAGCCAAAUGCAGAGUUUUCAGUCAUCACUCUCACCUGGAAUCACUACAGGAGUCCCCAGUGGAGGUUUCACAGGACCUCAGGCCACACUGUGUUGCUCAUAACUCAACACAGUGUAUCUAAUGCUUUGCUUCUUCUAUUGUUCCUGGAAUUUUUAAUCCAAAAACUCCCCAGAAAACCACUCACACUAGUCUGGCAAAGUCCAGUAUUUACAGUUCAGCCUGCUGUUGGGACAUUCUCCUGCCAUGGAGCACCACCUCCUACCUCUUAAGAAGCUCGUCCACACACUCUAGAACCAGUGCAAGUAUCACCUCCUCUCUAAAUCUUUUCCGUCUCUCUCCGCAUGAGCACCAACUGGUAUGCCUUGACCUUUCACAGUGAUUUUACUUAAACAUUUUUAUUCAUGUCUCCUAUAAGGCCCUAAAGGCUUCUCGUCUGUCUUGGGGGGAGGAACUUGCAACUGUCAUUGAUGGGAACUUAGUUCAUCAGCCUUGGUUGUAAGCACCUUUGCCUGAUGAGCCAGCUUAUACCCCUUUUCUUUCUUUCAAGAAAAUACUUAUGGGGCUAGAGAAGCAGCUCAACCGUUAAGAGCACUGGCUUCUCUUCCAGCGGACCCAGGUUCAGUUCCUCCCAGCACUCACAUGGCAGCUCACACCUGUCAGCAACUCCAAUUCCAAGGGAUCUGAUACCAUCUUACGGGCUCUGUGGAUACCAGGCAUGAGCAACAGUGACAGCUGUUAGAUGUAAACAGCUGCUGGGAUCAUCUGAUGACAGUGUAAACUA